rnacentral:rRNA from 1 species
CAGCAGCCGCGGGAAUACGGAGGGUGCAAGCGUUAAUCGGAAUUACUGGGCGUAAAGCGCACGCAGGCGGUUUGUUAAGUCAGAUGUGAAAUCCCCGAGCUUAACUUGGGAACUGCAUUUGAAACUGGCAAGCUAGAGUCUUGUAGAGGGGGGUAGAAUUCCAGGUGUAGCGGUGAAAUGCGUAGAUAUAGGAAGGAACACCAGUGGCGAAGGCGACCACCUGGACUAAUACUGACACUGAGGUGCGAAAGCGUGGGGAGCAAACAGGAUUAGAUACCCGAGUAGUCCCUGUCUCUUAUAC